GAUGAACGCUGGCGGCGUGCUUAACACAUGCAAGUCGAACGGCAAGGCACCUGCUUGCUGGUGUACUCGAGUGGCGAACGCGUGAGUAACACGUGGGUAAUCUGCCCUGCACUUCGGGAUAAGCCUGGGAAACUGGGCCUACUACCGGAUAGCACCACAUCUUGGGUGGAGUGGAGGAAAGCUUUUCGGUGUGGGAUGAGCGCGCGGCCUAUCAGCUUGUUGGUGGGGUAAUGGCCUACCAAGGCGUCGACGGGUAGCCGGCCUGAGAGGGUGUACGGCCACAUUGGGACUGAGGUACGGCCCAGACUGCUACGGGAGGCAGCAGUGGGGAAUAUUGCACAAUGGGCGCAAGCCUGAUGCAGCGACGCCGCGUGGGGGAUGACGGCCUUCGGGUUGUAAACUCCUUUCGCUAGGGACGAAGCGCAAGUGACGGUACCUGGAGAAGAAGCACCGGCUAACUACGUG
rnacentral:rRNA from 1 species